CGGCCUCUCCUCCCGUCUGCUUCCAGCUCUCUGGGAUGAUCAUUUGUGGAGGGAUGCUCGCCAUCUGUGCUGUUAUCACAGUCUUUGCGACCAUAAAUGCUUCCAUUCAGGUGAAGGUGGAUGUCAACAAUUACUUUGGAGGAGGCAAGCCCUACUCCAAGCCCCCUAGUCGCAAGAAGUGAGAUCCAGCAUGCAGAUCAGAGGACCACCCCCCUUCUCUGCUUUCAUAAUCUGAUUCCUUCCUUUCCACACAAGCUGAGGGCUUGUCUGCUCACACCCUGCACUGCACCCUUCAAUUCAGCCUGCUGCAUCCUGCUCUUCUUCUGAGAGGCAGAGGGCUUUUCCGUGUAUUUUAGCCCCAGGCUCCUCCCUGAGGCGCGUGCUCCUGUGUGCUUGUGCGUGGACAUCCUCUCACAGGCUUCUCGCAAACCACCACCUGCACUCCUCUGCCUGGGGUUUAUAGGUGAGGAGGAAAAUGUCCAGGCGCCCAUCUUCUUCUUUCAAUCAUCCAUUCAUUAAUAAAUUUGGAUUGAGCAUC